GCUUUGGAGGGGGGUUACUUAGCCGUGCCCCUCGCGGGGACUCGCUGGAAGUCAUCCCACCGGUAGCGCUCUUGCCCGCUUUAGAGGGGCGGGAAGUGUGCCAGCCAGCUCCAACCCCGCCCCGCCUCGCCGCUUUUCGAAAGCGAGAAGACUUUUCUCUCCCCUCCGCCGCCGCCGCCGCUUUCCUCCUCUUCUCCAACUAACGAUGAGGCGACUGAGUCGAAGGCUGGUGUUGUCUGUCCUGGGGAUCCUGUGGAUCGCCGCUCUCCUCCUCUUUCUCGGGGCCAGGAGGAAGUUGGAAGCGGCGGGACCCGAAGGGCGGCAGACGCCAAAGGUACAGGCAGGGAGAAGAAGUAUUUCUCUGUGCUGAGAAUAGCUAUGCCUACAGUACUGGAUUUGGCUGGUCCUGAUGAAUGAGGAUUUUGUUUGCCUUUUUUAAAUAACUAAACAGACUUCACAAACAUAUCCAUUAGUAGGACAGAAAGAACAUGGAUUUCAAAGAAGUUUUACUAUGGAAUGAUCAGAAAUUUUCCCUAUCAUUAGCAGAAACAAAGGUGCAGACCAUUGGAAAUGUUAUCAUGAAAACUAAAUAUGAUGAUACUGGAUGGUCAGGUUGGAUCCAGGUUUGAGAAACCUUAUGAAAAAAAAAAAAAAAGAGAGAGAGAGAGAGAGAAAAAGAAAAAAAAGUAAUGUGUGCAAGUCACAUAAAGUUGUAUGGCAAUUCAGGACUUAUCAAUUUGAUUUCUACUCAGUUUUCCAUUUUACUAAAGUAUUGGUUAGGCCCGCAUCCAUUUAUGAAUUUGAUUCCCUCCCACUCAAAAAUUUCUAUGCAUUUUUAUGUGUGUUGUAAUAUUUGCAUUUUUAUCUGUACUUUCUCUGAUGUAUACAUUUUUUCAAGUGCUUUACUAUGUUCAUUUUUGUGCAGUGGGUUCUUAAUGCAUACGUUUUUGUG